rnacentral:misc_RNA from 1 species
UCAAAAACCACUCAAGUAGUUUUGCUUGGUCAUGAAAGAAGAGUUUGCUUUGCGGACUCCCUUUCGAAAUUCAAUGGCAGAGAGUCUCAUGAUUCCGGCGUAGUAAUAACUUAUUCGCUUGGUCAUUGUAACAAUCUUGCCCCAAAUCCCCAAUUCUAGUGUUUGACCUCGGAUCAGGUAGGGAUACCCGCUGAACUUAA